rnacentral:rRNA from 1 species
GAUUUCUGGUUUGAUGUCCCUGUCCCUCUUGGGUUAACCAGGCUGUGUGACGGAGUAUGUCUGCCAUCCUUCUAGAGAAUACAAGCUAUCCUUUACUGGACCGGCGAGUGUCAUCUAGAUCUUUUACUUUGAAAAAAUUAGAGUGUUUCAAGCAGGCUUUAUGCUAUGAAUACAUUAGCAUGGAAUAAUAAUUUAGGACUUCGGUUCUAUUUUGUUGGUUUCUAGGACUGAAGUAAUGAUUGAUAGGGAUAGUUGGGGGUGCUAGUAUUCAGCGGCCAGAGGUGAAAUUCUCGGAUUCGCUGAAGACUAACUUAUGCGAAAGCAUU